CACUAUCUAUCGUUUUGUUAUUUUUCAUUUUUAUUUAUUGUUCUUGCUAGUAUUUCUGUACGAAGUCUUCAUGCUUGGUUACCACGACCGACACUUGUGUUAAUGUAAAAGGAUUAUUCAUUUAUAUGAUCUUCACCUAUCCCCAUAACUAUCUCACGUUGCUCCUGAUAUUUUCGAUUUCAUCACCCUUAUUCUCAAACAAAGUUAUAUCAAGCAAAGGUUGAAGGGCUCUUUUUAUUUACAGUAUAUGAUAUUUUUUUUGUUUAUCCUGAUUACUUGAAUUAUGCCCAUUCAAUCAAUACUAGACAGAAGCCUAGGCUGGUCCGGAUACAUAGCGUCCGUUCGAUCUAAAACAAUUAAAAAAAUUAACGAGAAAGAAUUAAUAAAAAAAAUUAAAUGCGGGACAUAGAGUGAAAUGCUGAUAAGGAAAGACUCGAAUUUCUGCUUUACCGCGCUGUGGCAGACGAACGCAAACUCUUAUCCCCGGAUUCGAUCCUCUUCGUUCCUACCGUGAGGUGACGUCCAGCAGUCCACUCGCAGGACGACGGCGGCGCCGCACCCGUCCAGCCACCGCUUUUCCUCCACCACGAAGAUGGGGCGGUGGGCGGUGGGGGUCCUCGUCUUCUGCUCUCCUCUCAGGAGAAGGAAGGAAAAAGGAGGAGGUGGAGAAAAGGGCCAUUCGGCGGCCCUGCUUUCUCCUCCUCCGUCGUCCUCCUCUUCUCUCCUUUUGUCUCCCCCGGCGCCCCACACGGAAAAAGCAGGGCGGGGAAUGUGAUUCCCCAGCCCAUUCAUCUCUCCUGGUCUCCCAUCUCCUUCAUUUCACGAACUCGUGGCCUUCCGAGCUCCCAUCCCCCCCGCCCUCCUCGCCCCUUCCGGAACUCUGAGCUGUAGCCCUUUCCCCCCGGCUCAUCUUCCCC
rnacentral:lncRNA from 1 species